CCUACGGGUGGCAGCAGUAGGGAAUCUUUCACAAUGGGCGAAAGCCUGAUGGAGCAACGCCGCGUGCAGGAUGAAGGCCUUCGGGUUGUAAACUGCUUUUAUAAGCGAGAAAUAUGAUGGUACCCUAUGAAUAAGCAUCGGCUAACUCCGUGCCAGCAGCCGCGGUAAUACGGAGGAUGCGAGCGUUAUCCGGAUUUAUUGGGUUUAAAGGGUGCGUAGGUUGUUUUUUAAGUCAGCGGUGAAAGUUUGUGGCUCAACCAUAAAAUUGCCGUUGAAACUGGAAGACUUGAGUGUGUUUGAGGUAGGCGGAAUGCGUGGUGUAGCGGUGAAAUGCAUAGAUAUCACGCAGAACUCCGAUUGCGAAGGCAGCUUACUAAGCCAUAACUGACACUGAAGCACGAAAGCGUGGGGAUCAAACAGGAUUAGAUACCCCAGUAGUC
rnacentral:rRNA from 1 species